CAUUUGUACACCAACAAUUAGAAAAAGCAGGCAAGGAAAAGUCAAUUUAGGCAGAAAAACUUGUAACUUCGGUCAUUCACACUGAAACCUAAAGUCAGAUAAACUGCCAGUUUGCUCCAGAAUAAAGCUUAAAAAACAAUAUCAUCCAUCCAUCAAAACUCAGAAGAUGCAUUGCUUCAGCCAGUGAUCAAAGUCACACUCAUAAACCAUAGCUGCUGCUUCUUCUUCUUCUUCUUUUCCUUUUCCAUUGAUGGCUUCUUUAAGAAAAUGCCCAAAUGGGUUAAAAAUCACUGUCAUUAUCUUGUUUCUCACAUUCUUUCCUUCCAUUUCAGCUGAGUCCAUGUUGAAGAGAGAUGGUGAUCAACGAUUAAAAAAUCAAAUGAAGACGGUGCUGGGAUCGAGGCCGCCGCAAUGUGCGAACAAAUGCAUGAGUUGCAGGCCUUGUACGGCCACUCUGGUUGCUUCUUCACACCACAAGAGCAGUAAUCUCGAGGCAACAACUUAUCAGGGAGAUGAGAACUAUUAUCUCCUCUCUUGGAAAUGCAGAUGCAGGAACAAGUUGUUCCAUCCUUGAAUAUAUUACAUUUUAGUUUAAUGUAACGAUGUUUCUGCAAGCAGCAUGUAGCUCAAGUGAUUAAGAGCAUUUACUUUGUCGGCAAGGAGUCCCUGCUUCCUAUGUACUCAAGCAGCUAUGAUGUUGAUACAAAGACUUAUGAGCUCUAAAGUCCUUCCAUGGAUUGCUCUUUAAUAUUGAGGCAGGGAAGCCCUUCGGAUUGUUGCUGUUUUCAUUGUGAUUACUUGAAAACAUUCAUUUGCAGAA